rnacentral:rRNA from 1 species
GAUGAACGCUGGCGGCGUGCUUAACACAUGCAAGUCGAACGAAGCAUUUGCGACAGGUUUUUUCGGAAUGAAGUUGCUUAUGACUGAGUGGCGGACGGGUGAGUAACGCGUGGGUAACCUGCCUUGUACUGGGGGAUAGCAGCUGGAAACGGCUGGUAAUACCGCAUAAGCGCACAAUGUUGCAUGACAUGGUGUGAAAAACUCCGGUGGUAUAAGAUGGACCCGCGUCUGAUUAGCUAGUUGGUGAGAUAACAGCCCACCAAGGCGACGAUCAGUAGCCGACCUGAGAGGGUGACCGGCCACAUUGGGACUGAGACACGGCCCAGACUCCUACGGGAGGCAGCAGUGGGGAAUAUUGCACAAUGGAGGAAACUCUGAUGCAGCGACGCCGCGUGAGUGAAGAAGUAAUUCGUUAUGUAAAGCUCUAUCAGCAGGGAAGAUAGUGACGGUACCUGACUAAGAAGCUCCGGCUAAAUACGUG